AGAUUGAACGCUGGCGGCAUGCCUAACACAUGCAAGUCGAACGGGAGUAGCAAUACUCUAGUGGCGGACGGGUGAGGAAUACGUAGGAAUUUGCCCUUAAGUGGGGGAUAACCCGGGGAAACCCGGAUUAAUACCGCAUGACCUCGAAAGAGCAAAGUGGGGGAUCGCAAGACCUCACGCUUUUGGAGAAGCCUACGUCGGAUUAGCUAGUUGGUGAGGUAAUGGCUCACCAAGGCGACGAUCCGUAACUGGUCUGAGAGGAUGAUCAGUCACACCGGACUGAGACACGGUCCGACUCCGUACGGGAGCAGCA
rnacentral:rRNA from 1 species